CUAAGUUCCUUGGAACAGGACGUCAUAGAGGGUGAGAAUCCCGUAUGCGACUGGUGGUCAACCCCAUGUGAGGCCCCUUCGACGAGUCGAGUUGUUUGGGAAUGCAGCUCAAAAUGGGUGGUAAAUUUCAUCUAAAGCUAAAUACCGGCCAGAGACCGAUAGCGCACAAGUAGAGUGAUCGAAAGAUGAAAAGCACUUUGGAAAGAGAGUUAAAAAGUACGUGAAAUUGUUGAAAGGGAAGCGCUUGCAACCAGACUUGCUCGCGGGUGAUCCACCGUCCCUCGGGGCGGUCUACUCUCCCGUGAUCAGGCCAACAUCGGUUUCGGUGGCUGGAUACAGGCUCCGGGAAUGUGGCUCCCUCCGGGGAGUGUUAUAGCCCGGGGUGCAAUGCAGCCCGCCGGGACCGAGGACCGCGCUUCGGCUUAGGAUGUUGGCGUAAU
rnacentral:rRNA from 1 species